rnacentral:rRNA from 1 species
UGGGGAAUAUUGGACAAUGGGGGCAACCCUGAUCCAGCCAUGCCGCGUGUGUGAAGAAGGCUUUCGGGUUGUAAAGCACUUUCAGUGAGGAGGAAAACCUUAUGGUUAAUACCCAUGAGGCUUGACGUUACUCACAGAAGAAGCACCGGCUAACUCCGUGCCAGCAGCCGCGGUAAUACGGAGGGUGCAAGCGUUAAUCGGAAUUACUGGGCGUAAAGCGCGCGUAGGUGGUUUGAUAAGCGAGAUGUGAAAGCCCCGGGCUUAACCUGGGAACGGCAUUUCGAACUGUCAGGCUAGAGUAUGGUAGAGGGUAGUGGAAUUUCCUGUGUAGCGGUGAAAUGCGUAGAUAUAGGAAGGAACACCAGUGGCGAAGGCGGCUACCUGGACCAAUACUGACACUGAGGUGCGAAAGCGUGGGGAGCAAACA